UACGUAGGGUGCAAGCGUUGUCCGGAAUUAUUGGGCGUAAAGAGCUCGUAGGCGGUCUGUCGCGUCGGCUGUGAAAACCCGGGGCUCAACCCCGGGCCUGCAGUCGAUACGGGCAGACUAGGGUGCGGUAGGGGAGACUGGAAUUCCUGGUGUAGCGGUGAAAUGCGCAGAUAUCAGGAGGAACACCGGUGGCGAAGGCGGGUCUCUGGGCCGUAACUGACGCUGAGGAGCGAAAGCGUGGGGAGCGAACAGG
rnacentral:rRNA from 1 species